CCUACGGGUGGCAGCAGUAGGGAAUUUUCGGCAAUGGGGGGAACCCUGACCGAGCAAAGCCGCGUGAACGAAGAAGUUAUUCGUAAUGUAAAGUUCCUUUAACCGGGAAGAAAAAGAAAUUUGACGGUCCCUGAAGAAUAAGCUCCGGCUAACUCCGUGCCCGCAGACGCGGUAAUACGUAGGGAGCGAUCGUUAUCCGGAAUUAUUGGGCGUAAAGGGUGCGUAGAUGGCAUAGUAAGUCUGUUGUAAAAAUGCUGGGCUCAACCCAGUAGGGCAAAAGAUACUGCAAAGCUAGAGUAUGACAGAGGCAAGUGGAACGACAGGUGUAGCGGUAAAAUGCGUAAAUA
rnacentral:rRNA from 1 species